AUUGAACGCUGGCGGCAUGCCUUACACAUGCAAGUCGAACGGCAGCGGGGGAGAAGCUUGCUUUUCCUGCCGGCGAGUGGCGAACGGGUGAGUAAUACAUCGGAACGUGCCGUGUAGUGGGGGAUAACUAGUCGAAAGAUUAGCUAAUACCGCAUACGACCUGAGGGUGAAAGUGGGUGACCGCAAGGCCUCAUGCUAUAGGAGCGGCCGAGGUCUGAUUAGCUAGUUGGUGGGGUAAAGGCCUACCAAGGCGACGAUCAGUAGCUGGUCUGAGAGGACGAUCAGCCACACUGGGACUGAGACACGGCCCAGACUCCUACGGGAGGCAGCAGUGGGGAAUUUUGGGCAAUGGGCGAAAGCCUGAUCCAGCAAUGCCGCGUGUGUGAAGAAGGCCUUCGGGUUGUAAAGCACUUUUGUCCGGAAAGAAAUGGCUCUGGUUAAUACCUGGGGUCGAUGACGGUACCGGAAGAAUAAGGACCGGCUAACUACGUGCCAGCCGCCGCGGUAA
rnacentral:rRNA from 1 species